CGUGAGUCCUGGAACCUCGCCCGAGGGUGCCUGCAAUAAAAUCUGUUCUUGGACCCUCGCUUACCUUGGCGGUCUCAUUUCCAUCUAGUUACUAAAAAACUUAACAAUGACCUGCGUGGAAACCGAAAGCUAGAUGCUUAACCGACUGUGUCACCCAGGCCCCCUGGGAUUGCUUUUAUGAGCUCCGGAUUGGGCUCUGUCCCAACCGUGUCCCUGACUGUUGUUGGGUGAUUUUGAACAACUCCCUGGGCCUUUGUUUCUUAAUUUAUAAGAUGGAGAAGGCUGUAAUUGAGGCUCUCAAAAGUAUCCUCCUAGUGAAAAUGCUGUAGAAUCUUGGACUCUCCUCUAAUGGAAUCGGAGUCAUAAUGGAACCAGCAAAGAAAGAAUGCAGAGCAGUGAACCCAUCACACAGACCCUCAUUUCUCAACUGAGCCAUGCAGAAGAAGCUGCCUGGCCUCGCUCCUGCUCAACAUCCUCUUCAUCAUACUUCUCCGACCCCAGCUGGGCUUUCGGCCCCCUCCCUGCCUCCUGUCCUGCCUCUUGUCCCGAUGACUUCCCUGUCUCUCCGCCCUGCGCCUGCCUCGGUCACCAGUUACUCAGACCAACCUGGUCCUCUUCCCACCUCAUGCCCAGACCGCCUGCCUCCUCUUACCGGUUUCACCUCUUCCCACCUCCCAGCCUGGGGCCCCUCCACCUUCGCCUGCCCCCCUGCUCCUCCCACCACCUGCCUUCCCCCUCUCCCUCUUCCCUGCAUCCGCCGCCCCUUCCGACUUGCCCCCCUCUUCCCCCACCCCUCUCCCUUUACCCCAGGCCUUCCUCCUCACUCUGCUUCUUCUCCCACCUGCAUGGGCCUUGGGCCCAGAUAGGCCUCUCCUGCUCCUGCUAGGACAUCUGCCCCAAGCAGCCCUCACUAGGCCUGAUGAUUCCCAUGCUCCAUCGUGAGGGCCUCGCGUCUCUCCCCAUGGGGCCCCUGGCCCAUGCCAGAACUCCUGGGAAGAUGGUACCCAGCAUCCUGGUGACCCAGUGGACAUGGGGGAUGAUGGCCAGCAGGCAUAGAACCAGGAGGGGCACCUCCCUCACUCAGAAGCCAUGUGAAAGAAUUUUCUUCUCAAGGGAAUUGGCAAGAAUGUUGUACGAAACAGCCGGCAGUCCUCCCCAGCCGUCCACCUGCCACCUAGGAGCCACAGCAAGUUUGGAAAGAUGCUGCACAUAGAAAAUGUAUAGAGCACAGAUAUAAAAGGCUAAUUGCUUCUUA